rnacentral:lncRNA from 1 species
CCAAUGAAAAGCAUUUCCUAUUGAGACCCCCAAGAGUUCCCCAGGCCCUCCGCUCAGGCCCAGACUUUGGGCCUUUUCUUGUGUCCCGGUUUUAAAGGCAUCCCAGCUACAGCAUUUAAGAGGGCCGUUCCUUAACAAAGGGAAAGAGAUAAAUGUAAAUAAGCUCACAUUUUCAGAAGGAGCAGUUUGCUGUAAGAAGCUUCAGCAGCCAGAAUCUGCUACUUUGGGCUGGGAUAAACUUUCUCUGUAAAAAAUAAUAAUAGUUUAAAAUAUGCACUUCUAAAGUGCGAGUUUCCCGUUUACAUGUUUAUUAGCUAAUUGUCUACAGGCAUGAGCACACUCUCUCAUCUAGCACACUCUUUCUUGGGGAAUACUGGUCUCUGGAGGAGUGUGAAAAUCAAUUCUCCUUAAUGUUAAGCAUCCAUUGGAGGAAAUCUCUAACCACAGUACCUCCGGAAAGUUCAUUGAUCAACGAAGUCUUGGAGAAAAUUGGUGCCAGAAUUUGGCUUGAACUAAUGUGGAGGAAAACAUUUCCUACCAGUCUUUAGUCUCAGAGUGCUGAACCCUGCAGCCUGCA